CCCGCUGAACUUAAGCAUAUCAAUAAGCGGAGGAAAAGAAACCAACAGGGAUUGCCUCAGUAACGGCGAGUGAAGCGGCAACAGCUCAAAUUUGAAAUCUGGCUCUUUCAGGGUCCGAGUUGUAAUUUGUAGAAGAUGCUUCGGGUGUGGCUCCGGUCUAAGUUCCUUGGAACAGGACGUCAUAGAGGGUGAGAAUCCCGUACGUGACUGGUUGCCUUCGCCCAUGUGAAGCUCUUUCGACGAGUCGAGUUGUUUGGGAAUGCAGCUCAAAAUGGGUGGUAAAUUUCAUCUAAAGCUAAAUAUUGGCCAGAGACCGAUAGCGCACAAGUAGAGUGAUCGAAAGAUGAAAAGCACUUUGGAAAGAGAGUUAAACAGUACGUGAAAUUGUUGAAAGGGAAGCGCUUGCAACUAGACUUGCGCGCUGCUGAUCAUCCGGGGUUCUCGCUGGUGCACUUUGCCGGGCUCAGGCCAGCAUCAGUUUGCUCCGGGGGAUAAAGGCUUUGGGAAUGUGGCUCCUCCGGGAGUGUUAUAGCCCAUUGCACAAUACCCUGGGGCGGACUGAGGUUCGCGCAUUUAUGCAAGGAUGCUGGCGUAAUGGUCAUCAGCGACCCGUCUUGAAACACGG
rnacentral:rRNA from 1 species